rnacentral:rRNA from 1 species
GACGAACACUGGCGGCGUGCUUAACACAUGCAAGUCGAACGGAAAGGCCCUGCUUUUGUGGGGUGCUCGAGUGGCGAACGGGUGAGUAACACGUGAGUAACCUGCCCUUGACUUUGGGAUAACUUCAGGAAACUGGGGCUAAUACCGGAUAGGAGCUCCUGCUGCAUGGUGGGGGUUGGAAAGUUUCGGCGGUUGGGGAUGGACUCGCGGCUUAUCAGCUUGUUGGUGGGGUAGUGGCUUACCAAGGCUUUGACGGGUAGCCGGCCUGAGAGGGUGACCGGCGACAUUGGGACUGAGAUACGGACCAGACUGCUACGGGAGGCAGCAGUGGGGAAUAUUGCACAAUGGGCGGAAGCCUGAGACAGAAGCGCCGCGUGCGGGAUGACGGCCUUCGGGUUGUGAACAGCUUUCGCCUGUGACGAAGCGUGAGUGACGGUAAUGGGUAAAGAAGCACCGGCUAACUACGUG